rnacentral:rRNA from 1 species
UAGGGAAUCUUCCGCAAUGGACGCAAGUCUGACGGAGCAACGCCGCGUGAGUGAAGAAGGAUUUCGGUUCGUAAAACUCUGUUGUUAGAGAAGAACAGCGCAUAGAGUAACUGUUAUGCGUGUGACGGUAUCUAACCAGAAAGCCACGGCUAACUACGUACCAGCAGCCGCGGUAAUACGUAGGUGGCAAGCGUUGUCCGGAUUUAUUGGGCGUAAAGCGAGCGCAGGCGGUCAAUUAAGUCUGAUGUGAAAGCCCCCGGCUCAACCGGGGAGGGUCAUUGGAAACUGGUUGACUUGAGUGCAGAAGAGGAGAGUGGAAUUCCAUGUGUAGCGGUGAAAUGCGUAGAUAUAUGGAGGAACACCAGUGGCGAAGGCGACUUUCUGGUCUGUAACUGACGCUGAUGUGCGAAAGCGUGGGGAUCAAACAGG